rnacentral:rRNA from 1 species
GACGAACGCUGGCGGCGUGCUUAACACAUGCAAGUCGAACGGAAAGGCCCUGCUUUUGUGGGGUGCUCGAGUGGCGAACGGGUGAGUAACACGUGAGUAACCUGCCCUUGACUUUGGGAUAACUUCAGGAAACUGGGGCUAAUACCGGCUAGGAGCUCCUGCUGCAUGGUGGGGGUUGGAAAGUUUCGGCGGUUGGCGAUGGACUCGCGGCUUAUCAGCUUGUUGGUUGGGUAGUGGCUUACCAAGGCUUUGACGGGUAGCCGGCCUGAGCGGGUGACCGGCCACAUUGGGCCUGAGAGACGGCCCAGAAUCGUAUGGGAGGCAGCAGUGGGGAAUAUUGCACAAUGGGCGGAAGCCUGAUGCAGCAACGCCGCGUGCGGGAUGACGGCCUUCGGGUUGUAAACCGCUUUCGCCUGUGACGAAGCGUGAGUGACGGUAAUGGGUAAAGAAGCACCGGCUAACUACGUG